GGGAAGGUGGCUCAGUGGUAGAGUGCUUGCCUGGCAUGCAUGAGGCCCUAGGUUCAAUUCCUCAGUACCA
rnacentral:tRNA from 1 species